GCAUAUCAAUAAGCGGAGGAAAAGAAACUAACAAGGAUUCCCCUAGUAACUGCGAGUGAAGCGGGAACAGCUCAAGCUUAAAAUCUGCAAGUAGUAAAUGACUUGCCGAGUUGUAGCUUAUGGAGACAGUUAUCGACGUUACAACAUAGUAAAAGUUCUUUUGAAUAAGGCAUCAAAGAGGGUGAAAAUCCCGUAAUUGACUAUGUUAAAAAAAGUAGGGAAAUGUGAACUGUUUUCUUUGAGUCGGGUUGUUUGGGAAUGCAGCCCUAAUUAGGAGGUAAAUUUCUUCUAAAGCUAAAUAUAAGCAAGAGACCGAUAGCAAACAAGUACCGUGAGGAAAGAUGAAAAGCACUUUGAAAAGAGAGUGAAAAGUACGUGAAAUUGUUGAAAGGGAACCAGUUGGUAGCCAAGCUUCAUGUUUUGGGUAUUUAUUUACGUGAUUUAUGAGGUCAACAUCGGUUGUCAGUUUUGCCUGAGAGGAAAUUAUGUAGGUUAGCGGGGGUAAGGUAGAGCAAGUUGUUUACUAGUUUCGGCUGGUAAAUUAAGCAACUUGUUUGUUAUAGACCCCAUGGACUUGCUGUGUAUGCCUAGAGGUGGAGACGACCGAGGAACGCAGUGUUUUGUUCUGGRAARAACGAGUGGAGAGAUUUAGGGGGAUUUGAUUUGUUAUGUUUUAUAGACAGCUUGCUGACUAUGGAUUAUAAUGAGACUUGUUUAGCCUUGGAUUUGUACCCAGAAAMACUU
rnacentral:rRNA from 1 species